rnacentral:rRNA from 1 species
GACGAACGCUGGCGGCGUGCUUAACACAUGCAAGUCGAACGGAAAGGCCCUGCUUUUGUGGGGUGCUCGAGUGGCGAACGGGUGAGUAACACGUGAGUAACCUGCCCUUGACUUUGGGAUAACUUCAGGAAACUGGGGCUAAUACCGGAUAGGAGCUCCUGCUGCAUGGUGGGGGUUGGAAAGUUUCGGCGGUUGGGGAUGGACUCGCGGCUUAUCAGCUUGUUGGUGGGGUAGUGGCUUACCAAGGCUUUGACGGGUAGCCGGCCUGUGAGGGUGACCGGCCACAUUGGGACUGAGAUACGGCCCAGACUCCUACGGGAGGCAGCAGUGGGGAAUAUUGCAGAAUGGGCGGAAGCCUGAUGCAGCAACGCCGCGUGCGGGAUGACGGCCUUCGGGUGGUAAACCGCUUUCGCCUGUGACGAAGCGUGAGUGACGGUAAUGGGUAAAGAAGCACCGGCUAACUACGUG